AGUGAACGCUGGCGGUAGGCCUAACACAUGCAAGUCGAACGGCAGCACAGUAAGAGCUUGCUCUUACGGGUGGCGAGUGGCGGACGGGUGAGGAAUACAUCGGAAUCUACUUUUUCGUGGGGGAUAACGUAGGGAAACUUACGCUAAUACCGCAUACGACCUACGGGUGAAAGCAGGGGAUCUUCAGACCUUGCGCGAUUGAAUGAGCCGAUGUCGGAUUAGCUAGUUGGCGGGGUAAAGGCCCACCAAGGCGACGAUCCGUAGCUGGUCUGAGAGGAUGAUCAGCCACACUGGAACUGAGACACGGUCCAGACUCCUACGGGAGGCAGCAGUGGGGAAUAUUGGACAAUGGGGGCAAGCCUGAUCCAGCCAUACCGCGUGGGUGAAGAAGGCCUUCGGGUUGUAAAGCCCUUUUGUUGGGAAAGAAAAGCAGCAGGUUAAUACCCCGCUGUUCUGACGGUACCCAAAGAAUAAGCACCGGCUAACUUCGUG
rnacentral:rRNA from 1 species